rnacentral:lncRNA from 1 species
CUGUGUUUGGAGAGUUUCAAUUGGGAAUUGUAAGAACAAAGACCCUAUUUAGUUGGAUCCACUAUAGGAGGUGACUUCACUUGUUGUUUUAACUAUAUCCUUAUGCUUAUUUCAUUCUAAAUAUGCUGACAUAUUAAAAAUGAAUGAACGUACAAUUAACAAAAAAAAGGUAUUGAUAGAAUUUUUUCUUACUUGUAACUUUGCAAACAUACAUGUAUUGUUCGUACUUUCUCUCCUACAUAUUCAAAAGAUUGAACUGGUUGGUUGUUACCUUGGCAUCCCUCUCAAAGGUGCUAGAAUCAUUAUUCAAGACAUUCAACCUAUUAGAUUCCACAUCUUGGGCCAUCUUGAUUCAAGGAAAUGGAAAACUAUAUCCAUUACAAGUUGUUUAUAUGUAGCAGAGCAAUAAUGUUUUGAAGCAUUGCGGGGUCAAUAUGUGGAAUGAAGGGAAUUGAGUAUUAAGACAAGCUGAUGGCUUCGAUCGUAAGCUAUCGUAAGCUAUAGUUCUGAAUUAACUAUCUUGAAAGUAAAGCAAUCCUCAUUGUUGGCUCUUGAUAGCAAUAAGCAGUCAUCGAUAAAUAGUAGAUGGUUGAAAGUACAUCUAUCUCUCUUUGUUUUAUAUCUAGACAAGCGUCCAGCAUCUAUUUCAAGAUCAAGAGCCAUGUUCAACAUUUCAGAGCACAGUAUGAAGAGGCAAAGAGGAAAGGAGAAAGGGGCAUCUCAAUCGCAUAAAUGAUUUAAAGGUGCUAGUGGAAGAGCCAUUAAUCAAUACGAGAAAAUUGGGUUCAUGUAACAAUCAUUAAUCCAAGCAAUCCACUUCUCAAGGAAAGAAAACUUUCUCAUGACACCCUCGUUUGGUCUUAGUAUACUCGAUCAUAAGUCCUAUUCAUAUACAGAUUAAUAGUGAUUACAGAUUACAGAGUUUCUCCAGCCUUGUGUGAUAAAUCAAUAGCCUCCAGAGCGAAGAUGCUACAAUAGGGAAUAGAAAUUGAAGGCCACUUUCUCCUCAAGCACCAAAUCAUCAAUGGCGACCUUUCUAAGAGCUUGGACUUUGUUACUAUUUGUUUAAGCCAAAUACCCAAAUGAUUAUCAUUAUAAACGUUCGCAUAAAAGUUCCCGCACAAUAAGGUCAAAAUGGUAAAUUUGGUUC